rnacentral:lncRNA from 13 species
CUUAAUUGUUACUCAGAAAUGAUUUGAUAUUGAGAUAAAAAUGGCUGCAUUGGACAUUUAAGAAAAUCUCCAUCCUUCUAUAUAUUUCAGUGAAUAAUACUACAUCUGCCAAUCGAUCUCCUCUAUCCCCUCACCCUCAGGAUGAAUUGGAGUCCCUGGCUUCUCCAUAGUCUUUUCCCAUCCUCUUCCUUCUCCCAUCUUCCCUCCCUUCCCCCAUCCUCUUCUCUUUCUUCCCCCCUCCUCCCUCUCUUCUCUCCAUCCUCUCUCUCUCCCCCCUCCUCCUACCACUCUUCCCUCCCUCCUCCCUCUGGCUGGCUGCCACUCCUCCCAGCGACUCUGUGCGUGUUGUCUGUUGAGGCCGGCCCCUCUCUCUCCUCUGAUGGAGGAGUGAAGCUCACUGACACACACUCACAGACGCAACACGCCACAGGCAGGCUACCAGACAGACUGGCAGACAGGUAGGCAGCAGUCAGGCAACAUGACCCAAACAGGGAACAGCCUCAGCUCUGUGACCUGUGACAACAGAUGCCAACCACAGAACUGAACAUUGAAGUUUACUUUGAGAGCCUCAGAGGAGCUGGAGUAAGCAGAAAAUAAGACAAAUAACAAGACGGGAUGAGGAGUGCUUGACUGCUGUUUUUUAGGCUGAGGAGGAGGGAGUAUUUUACUAACUUUUUCUGCACUUUCUGAACCUGUGGAAUUCCAUUCAUGAGCCAGAGGACUAAAGCCAGCAUGGUAUUCAGCUGGCAGAAGUCCUUUGCCAUUCUGACCCCCUGGAGGAAAGGAAAGGGGGACAAUGUGCUGGAAAAUGAGGUUAUCCUGACCAAGAUGAAGCUCUUCAACAACUUCCAUGAGAAGCUCCUCAACAACGCUGUUGAUUCUUCAUCCACUAUCGCCAUGUCAGUUUCUGAGCAGGACAUCUCAGAGCCUGUCAAAGGCUUGGAGAGAAAUGCUGACUUGGAUAACAUGCCUGGACAGUCCCUGAUGGAGUCAAGCUCAGACUACCUGUCAAACAUUUUCUCAAACUCUCAGCUUUCCAGGCUGUACAAGUUUGAGUCAGAGGACUCUGGGGUGGAACUGCCCAGUGGAACCAACUCUCCCUCCACACCCACCGGUUCGGAGCAGAGCUUCGUGGUCCACAGCCGGGAACCCUCCUAUGACUCCUGUAACCUCAACACUCCUGUCCCUACCCCAGAACCACUCCUCACAUUUGACCAGUGCUCUGACACCAAACAAACAGAGGAUAUGAGAGACACACCAUGUAUGACUGCAGACAGUGCUGUGCAGGAGUGUGAUAUGGUGGAGUCGGGGGCUGAACUCAACACAGAAGUUGAGAGGGUAGACCUUCAUAUAACUGAGAAGGACAUAGACAUGGAGAGGGCCCAGCACACAGCCUUGAGGGACCCCACUGAGGACGGUAAAGGGGGUUCAGAGCAGCUGGGUGAAAACAAGGCUGUAACUGAGGGGGUCAAUUCAGAGAACACAAAGCCCAGGAGACAGUGCUCUACAGGGGCCUGUGACGAUAUGACAGGGGUUGACUUUGAGCAGCGGCCUCUGAGGAAAGGCACGACGAGUGACAGCCUGGAGGAGUAUAUGGAGGAAUGCUGCAGACUGAGUGAGGUCCACCAGGCCAGCUCCAACCCCCUGGGCUCCGGACUGGGCUACCUGGAGCACAUCUGUCAGCUCAUCGAGAAGAUUGGUCAGCUCCAGGAGCACAACCUCAGGCUGCAGAAGCAGAUCUGUGGUCUGCAGAAGGAUGGAAAGAUGGCCAAGAACAAAGAGGACUUCUUCCUGCAGCACUGUAGCUGUGGAACGGCCGGCCUGACCUUUCAGGAACAGAAAAGACACUCCAGGAAUGAGUUCCUGACCACAUCCAUGAGUGGCACCCUCUCUGACCUCUCCACCAUCCCUGAGGUCACACGUCACACAGGACUCACAGCCAUGAGAGAGAGUGACCAAGGUAAUAACCAGCCCCUGGUGCCCCUUUGUAGGAGGGGCCUGAAUCGGAGGAGCUACACAGAGGGAGAGACACGCUCCUAUCUCUUUGACAGUACAGAGGGUCUCUCUGCCCCACACAGACGGCUGAGUGAGAACUACACAUGGGGCAGAGUGAAGGAUCUGGUGAAGAAGACCAAGCUGAGAAACCAGAGCAGACUGGGACAGACAUCCACCUCCCUGAAGAGAUCCUGUCCACAGCUCUACUGCCCUGACCUGGGACCAGUGGAACUGCCAGGAAGAAACAGGAACUCCAUGGUCGCCUUGGGCCAUUAGAACAAACUGGACUUCCAGUGGCCCCAAUAACAAAGAAGAUACGAAACAGAUGGCCCAAAGUGGGAAGAGACAGCCCUGAAGAGGAGGACAAAGUGAAGUUGAACAGAUUCUUGACUGGACUGGGAUAUGAUGAGUGUGAAAGGAGGGAUGAGAGAAAGAACACUUGUGAUGGAUGACAAAAUUUGAGUGAGGAGUAAAAAGAAAACAAAAAGAUGGAUGGUCAGAGACAUCUCUCUCUCUUGCGAUACAAUUCUAAAAUGAGGGAUUUUAUUGUUUCAAAUAAGGGAACAUUGGUAUGUAUAUGAGAAUAGAGAUGCAUUUACUCCACAACGUACAUGAAAACGAUAUCAAUGAUUUAAUCUUGUACUAUACUCGUUUUCUAUACAAUUCAUAUGGUAGCUUAAUAUCUUCUCUAAAUGUAUUUUAUUCAUUCAGACUGACAUUUCAAUACUGUGUGUUGAUGGAGCAAACAAUAACUCUUUGAUAUGGUAGUUUCAUCAAAGAAAUAGACAAUAUUCUGGGGUGGAAAUAAAGACUUGGAUUAUCAUUGACAGUGAUUAGAUAGAGUACAUUAGAAAAGGCUGCUUGUUGAAUCUUGCUUUCGUCUAUGGUAAAGUCUGCUCCCAAUUGAACAUGGCUGCUGCAUAAUAACAUUAUUUACAAAUGUCUCGUGAUCCAUUAUGUGAGAGAGAAGUCUACAGUAAGACAAGUCAUGCUCCCAUGAACAAAUGUGAAACAUACACAUAUCGUACACAUAUCGUACAUAUUUCAGAAUUGUACUUUCAGAAUCUAUACAAACAUAUUUAGUGUGAUUUAUCUUCUUGUUUUGAGUGUAGGCCUAUAUAGGCUAGGUGUUUGCAAUAUGGACCAUACAUGGAUGACAGAUUGUGGUAUAUAUGUUGUGUGAUUGUGCUGUACAUAACACAUGUUCAUGUAGUGUGUGUACAGUCAGUAUGAUUGUACAGGAAGGGAGUUAUGUCUGUAAAUUCCUACGUCUAUAUGAUGGAAAGUUAUCAUUAUUGGAGAGAGAGAGGUUCAAGAUCCCUAAAGAUAAAAAAUGAAUUAAAAAAAACUGCUGUCAGAUGUUACGAUGACAUUUGUGAUGCAUUUCCCUAAGGUAUUUUAAUGUUCCUGUCAAACAUUUGUUAAAAAAAAUAUAUACAUAUUUUUUUAUAUCAAUUGAUAUGAUUUACCAGAGUCUGCUGUUGCUUGUUCAUCUUCAAGAUAUAUAUUGUUUUUGGUCGGGAUAUAUAUUGUUUUUGGUCUGGUUUGACUAGCUAACAGUGAUUUAGCUUUUCUACACCACUGUUACAUCACUAUGAGGUUAUUUGAUAACAGACAGGCAAAACAAGUGCCACGGUGCUUUGGAAAUCUCACUGGGCAACUAGAGAAGGUAAGUUUCACACAAAAACUUUGGAAAGGAUUAUUAAAUUGGCUUUAAAGCCUUGACACCUACCUGAAAAACAGCAGCAGCUAAUUUCAACUGCUCAAAACUGUCCAUUGUGUAAAUGACAGGAAUGGAGUUAAUCCAAUUUUACAAGACACUAAUCCCACAGAAAGAACACAAACAAUAGUUAGUUAUCCAGUAUGUACUUCAGCAACGUGAACUAGAGUGUAGUACAACACUAAUGAGUUCUACAUUAGUAGUCCUAUUAAAAUAAUAAUGUACUCAUUCUCUAACUGUAUCAUACUGAAUUCAUGUACCUCUAAAUACUCUAAUCAAGUAGAAUAUACAUGUGUUGCAACUGAGAGGCAGUAAAGGCUGUCAAUAUGUAUGAUACAUUUGUCGGGCUGGUAACUAAAGACAAAAGAUAGUGAUAUCUGUAUAUUGUAUAUUGUACAAUUUACUGCAAUGGAUGAAAAAUCUCAAUAUGCAUAUUGCAUCAUUAUUCAAAGUUAUUUUUCAGAAUAAAGUUGACAUUUCCUAAGACAUGAAAUGUAUGCUGUGCUUCUGUGCUUUAAGUUCAUUUUAAAUCACUCACUGACCCCUCACAGGAUAUGAAGCAAAUCAUGUUUCUUAUAGAGAGAAGGACGUAAAGAGCACCACCUCAGUAGAAACUAGCUGAUCUUGCAAAUAGGGGAAAGAUACACUCAACUGUGUGUGCUUAGACAGAGAUUCCCCUCUCUUUAUGAUUCAUACUAAUAAGUAAUGAAUACUUAUUCUCAUCCAGGAAGAACUGCAGGAAGCGGACCAGCCUUUUCCAAUUAGAGAGGACCUUCACAGCCAGUGACUCGGGAGAUUCAUACUUCUUUCUGUCCAGACUGAACAUUUGUUGGAUAAAAGACAGAAUCCGACCCUGGAAACACAGAAGGGUAUCUGUCACUAUGGCGAAGAUGAAGGGAAACUCAUUGAUCGCCACAUCAUGGUAAAGUAGGUCUGUAUCAAAGGAUACUGUACACUAUUAAAUGACUACAACAUACAGAGCAAAGCAAGCUAACUCACUCACAGCUGAGAGAAGGACAACAACAAACAGGCCUAUACCAGGUAUUCCCAAACUGGGGUACGCCAAAUAAAAAUGUGAUUCACAUUUUUGUUAAUAAAAAUUCCUUCACAUUUUCACGGGGCUAUACAUUUGGGUGAGGUUUUUUCCCCCGCCCGAGUAGCCUCGUUUCACUGACAAAAAUAAAAUUAAACCAUCUAGUGUUCAGCGAAAUAACAACACAAAGUGAAAUACAGAUAGUCUAAUCAAAUAAUUAACAUCCAAUCACAUUAAGCGUUACUGUCUCACGAGAAUUCCACUGAUGGUCCGUAUGUAGCCAAACGUAGCUGCUGCUCAUGUUGGUAUCUGUACUGAUGGUGCAAAAGCCAUGACAGGGAGACAUAGUGGAGUGGUAACGCACAUGCAAGCAGUUGCUCAUGAUGCCACUUGGGUACACUGCAAUAUCCACCGAAAGGCUUGCAUGCGCCUAACCGCAAGAAAGACGUUUUGGAAACUACAGUGAAAAUGGUUAACUUUGUUAAAGCAAGGCCCCUGAACGCUUGUGUAUUUUCUGCACUAUGCAAUGAUAUGGACAUCGACCAUGUAACGCUUUUACAACAUUUGCCCCUUGAUAACCAGCACACAUAACCAGCGCGCUGGUUAUCAAGGGGCAAAGUAUUUACACGUUUUUUAAAUUGAGAGACGAGCUUAAAGAUUUCUUUACUGACCAUAAUUUUGACUUGUCUGACCGCGUGCAUGAUGACGAGUUUCUCACACGACUGGCCUAUCUGGAUGAUGUUUUUUCUCGCCUGAAUGUCUGAUUCUAGGAUUACAGGGACUAUAUUCAGUGUGCGGGACAAAAUUGAGGCUAUGAUUAAGAAGUUGGAGCUCUUCUCUGUCUGCAUUAACAAGGACAACACACAGGUCUUUCCAUCAUUGUAUGAUUUUGUGUGUGCAAAUGAUCUCAAGCUUACGAACAAUGAAAAGUGAGACAUAGCGAAGCACCUGAGUGAGUUGGGUGCACAAUUACACAGGUACUUUCGCAAAACAGAUGACACAAACAACGGGAUUUGUUAUCCCUUUCAUGCCCUGCCUCCAGUCCACUUACCGAUAUCUGAACAAGAGAGCCUCAUCGAAAUUGCAACAAGCAGUUUUGUGAAAAUUUUACUUAAUCAGAAGCCACUGCCAGAUUUCUGGAUUGGGCUGCGCUCAGAGUAUCUGCCUUGGAAAAUCGCGCUGUUAAGACACUGAUGCCCUUUGCAACCACGUAUCUAUGUGAGAGUGGAUUCUCGGCCAUCACUAGCAUGAAAACUAAAUACAGGCACAGACUAUGUGGAAAAUUAUUUAAGACUGAGACUCUUUCCAAUACAACCCAACAUUGCAAAGUUAUGUGCAUCCUUUCAAGCACCCCCUUCUCAUUAACCUGUGGUGAGUUAAUCACAAUUUUCGAUGAACAUAUAAGGUUUUACAUGUAAGAUGGUUAAAAAAGAGCAAAAUUAUUGAUUGUUAUUAUAUUAUUAUUUGUGCCCUGGUCCUAUAAGAGCUCUUUGUCACUUCAGAUUAGCAGGGUUGUGACAAAAACUCACACUCAUUCUUAUGUUUAAUAAAUGUAUCGUAUAGUGUGUGUGUGGCAGGCUUACAAUGAUAGCAAAAAACAACAUUUGAGAGUGAGCUGACCCUGGUGCUAGAGGGGGUAUGCAGCUGGAGGUUGAAUGUUUGAAGGGGUACGGGACUAUAAAAAGUUUGGGAACCACUGUCCAAUAGGGUCUCUCGGUCUUCUCAGUAUUUUGUCAGUACAGGACCUUUUUUUAUUCCUAUACUAUUAUUUUAAAUGUAUGUAGUUCUGUCCUUGAGCUGUUCUGAUCUGUUACUGUUCUGUAUUAUGUCUUGUUCUGUGUGGACUCCAUAGUAGCUGCUGCUUUCGCAAUAGCUAAUGGGGAUCCUAAUAAAAUACCAAAUGACAAGUCACAUACCCUAAGAAGGAUGUAGAAUUCUUUGGUCUUGCUCUGUGGUCCAUAGGCUGCCCACAGGAUCACUGGGUCUGUGUAGUCAAACACCUCAUACAGAUGGUGGUACAGCGCAUCAGGCCUCUACGGACACACAUGGAUACAUUACAUCAGAACCAAGAUGACAUCUCCUGGUAAUAUGUGGUAAUGCAUGUACGAUAAAUGAAAAAUAUUAAUACUUGAAUUUAUUUUUGCCCACACCUUUCCGGUGUUGAUA